UCCUAGCCCCUGUUCUAGCAAUUUUCCUCACUCUGCGAUUCCUUCACCGGCUGCACCGCAUGCUGUUCGACAGCCGGGACUCUGUAGAUCCUUUAGAUCCUGUAGAUCCUGUAGAUACCUUCGAUCCGAUGUAGAACAGGAUCCUCGAACCGCUAAGAUAUCCAGGGCACUGGGAAUUGUGAAGAAUUUGUGACCGCGGUCAAAGCACGCGACUAACUCCAUUUUCAUGAACUAACUAACAGAGCUUCCUGCUACGCUAAAACGAUCACAGACUGUUCGAACGAAUGCGCCAACAACUCUAGCUACCGCUCAUGUAGAAACAAACAAAUACACUGAUAAAUAAAACACAGCAAACACACGCA